rnacentral:rRNA from 1 species
UACGAGGGGGGCAAGCGUUGUUCGGAAUUAUUGGGCGUAAAGAGCUUGUAGGCGGUUUGUCGCGUCUGCUGUGAAAAUCCGGGGCUCAACCCCGGACUUGCAGUGGGUACGGGCAGGCUAGAGUGUGGUAGGGGAGACUGGAAUUCCUGGUGUAGCGGUGGAAUGCGCAGAUAUCAGGAGGAACACCGAUGGCGAAGGCAGGUCUCUGGGCCACUACUGACGCUGAGAAGCGAAAGCAUGGGGAGCGAACAGG